rnacentral:lncRNA from 1 species
CAUGUACCGAAGAACACAUAAUUGGGGAACUUCAUGCUAUCAUGUUACAAUUCAUUCAUCAAACAGUUAGCAUAAAUUAAAGUCUUAGUAUGUAUCAAAGAGCACAUAAUUGAGAAAUUUCAUGCUAUCAGGCCACAAUUCAUUCACUAAGGCUUUUCAACAAACAAUUAGCAUGCAUAGGUUUACAUACAAUUAGGGAUUUCUAAUCAACAUUCUAGAAU